CAUCCCGUGGCCGUUUCCAGGAAAACAUCCUUCCCACCCCGCACCCUCCCAAUCCCCCCACCCCCGCCUCCCACAAAAGGGAGACAGAUUUCAUCUGCAACAUGGAGCAGGUAGUCUCAGAAUCCCACCCGGAGCAGGGCCUAGGGCAAGUCUUGGAGGACAGUCACCAAGAACUGCUUUGGAUGCUGGAACAGAACUGCCUAACCCGUCUGCAGCCCUGGGGACCUGCCCUGCUCCUCUGGCACCUGCAGGACAGCGGGGGAGGCGGGGAGUGGAAGCAGGGAAAACAGCUUGUUAGAGAUGGCAGAGAAACUGAGCAAGAAUAGUCAUCCUGGAAAAGACUAUUUCAGAAGCAGCCAACAGAAACUUCAAGGCUCCAGUUCCAAAGUCAGCCAGCCCCAGGGUGGGACACACAACCCAUCCCACAUUUCAUCACUGAGAAUGCGGAGCCUGAGCUGCACUCCGACUCCACUCCCAUCACACAAGGAGGGACAAGAGCUGCUUUUCUGGAAGCCUUGAACAACCUCGCUAUGCUCUGGAAGGCCCUUGGACUCAGACUGGCGAUUACACUACCUGGGUCUCCAGCAGGCAGAUGUAGGACUUUUCAUCCUCCAGAACUGUGUGAGCAUGAGCCAAUUCCUGUAAUAAAUGCCUUCUGUGUAUCUACAUAUGCCCUAUUAGUUCUGUUUCUCUGGAGAACCCUAAUACAGCACCCUGUUUCCAAAAAAUGCACACCAACUUCUACAAACAUGGGCCCUGGGAGCUCACUGCAUGGAUGCCCACUGCGUGGAUGCAGAUUCAGGCUCUUCUUCCUAACAUACCUAUAGGCAGUCCUUGCCCUGUGCCAGCCCCAAGGUCCUCUGCUCCUAGGAUCACUGCAGUAAAAAACCAGAGCCUGAAUGAAGUCGACAUUGGUUAUUUGGUUGGAUCUGAGAUUCCAGAUUUUUUCAACUGCCAGAGCCUUCAGUCAAUGGCCCCUUCACUACCUCUGAUGCAGGCUUGACUGACUCCCAUGAUGGGGAUCAUCCAGCUUUGUAGAAAU
rnacentral:lncRNA from 13 species